CCGUAACUAUAACGGUCCUAAGGUAGCGAAAUUCCUUGUCGGGUAAGUUCCGACCCGCACGAAAGGCGUAAUGAUUUGAGCACUGUCUCGACAAUGCAUCCGGUGAAAUUGAAGUACCAGUGAAGAUGCUGGUUACCCGCGCCAGGACGGAAAGACCCCAUGGAGCUUUACUCCAGUUUGAUACUGGGAUUCGGUACUGCAUGUACAGGAUAGGUGGGAGACGAAGAAGGAUGGACGCCAGUCUGUCCGGAGUCGCUGUUGGGAUACCACCCCUGUAGUACUGGGUUUCUAACCAGUUGCCAUGAACUGGCAAUGGGACAAUGUCAGGCGGGGAGUUUGACUGGGGCGGUCGCCUCCGAAAGGGUAUCGGAGGCGCUCAAAGGUUCCCUCAGAAUGGUCGGAAACCAUUCGAAGAGUGCAAAGGCAGAAGGGAGCUUGACUGCGACACCGACGGGUGGAGCAGGUACGAAAGUAGGACUUAGUGAUCCGGUGGUAUAAAGUGGGAUUGCCAUCGCUCAACGGAUAAAAGCUACCCUGGGGAUAACAGGCUUAUCACUCCCAAGAGUUCACAUCGACGGAGUGGUUUGGCACCUCGAUGUCGGCUCAUCGCAUCCUGGGGCUGUAGUAGGUCCCAAGGGUUGGGCUGUUCGCCCAUUAAAGCGGUACGCGAGCUGGGUUCAGAACGUCGUGAGACAGUUCGGUCCCUAUCCGGCGUGGGCGUAGGAUAUUUGAGAGGAGCUGUCCUUAGUACGAGAGGACCGGGAUGGACUGACCUCUGGUGUACCGGUUGAACCGCCAGGUUCACGGCCGGGUAGCCAAGUCGGGAAGGGAUAAACGCUGAAGGCAUCUAAGCGUGAAGCCCCCCUCAAGAUGAGAUAUCCCUACGUAAGUAGUAAGACCCCUUGAAGACGACGAGGUAGAUAGGGCAGAGGUGGAAGUGCAGUAAUGCAUGGAGCUGACUGUUACUAAUAGGUCGAGGGCUUAAUCUG
rnacentral:rRNA from 1 species